rnacentral:lncRNA from 1 species
GGCGGAAUGGAAACUCCCGCACCACACUUCAUGGUUCGUACAUAUAUCGUGUUUGCAAUAGUACCUGACAACAGAAACGAUGAAUGCUCCGUUUAUUGUUAAGAACGUUUUGCUGUCAUAAUCCUAGCUGUCUAAAGGUUCUGCAAAAAAGUGCCAGCAACUGUGGUUCGAAGCAGCUGCCUGAGCCCUUGAACACCCAUUUCACGCCAGGAGGUUCCCUUGGGGACCAGAGGCAGCUGGCAGUGGCACUGGUGAGGAGACUGAAAAGGAACAUCCUGACUGGCUCAGAGGCCGGUGCUGCCAGCUGAUUGCUCCUGACUUUCGGUGGUUCCUUCAGCUGCACCGUGUAGGAUGGAUUUCCUGAAGAGUCUGAAAGAGCUCAGAAACCUGCUAGUUCUCAAGCAUAGCCGCUUACCGUCACAUUUGACGAAGGGAGGCGACAUUUAUGUGUGCUUUGUUGAAGACUGGUGUGUGUUACUAUUUGUAAGUACACCCAGUAUUGAUCGCUGAUCGGAGAUCUCACGGAGAUCCACUGAAACUGCAGUUAGGAGAAGGCAGUGCCCAGUCCGACCCCAGUAAGGAAACUACCCAGAGCUUCUGAGGCCUCGGCCUGUCCUUCUGUUCUGCAUGCGGAGUCACUGGAUCUGGGUCAGGAAAUGCACAGUACCAGAUGGGAUGUUAAGUAGAGCUGGCCUAACAAAGUAACACCAUUUCCACCAUCAGAGCAAAAGUAACAUUGAUUUACUAAUCAAUUGGAAAUUACCCCUGGAUGAAGGACAGAAAGAGGAUUCCUGGGAUCCUCUUUACUUAAUUGGAAAAUAAAGCUUAUUAUUAUUAUUAUUAUUAUUAUUAUUAUUAUUAUUUUAUCAUUACUAUGACUUUGUUGGGCUUGAUGUUGUCAAUCACAAAAUGCCUUUAUAAACUAUGGUUCCAGUUAUAACUGCUGACAUUACUGUUGCCUGAAAUGCUCUUACACUAAAGUUCAAGGGAACCCCUAAAUUUAACUAGGCUAAUUUGAGAUAGAAAUGUCAUUUGUAUGAAAAAAGAAAAAUAUUGGUAAGUAUUUCAAUUAAGAGCAAUUUUAUAUUCUUAAAAUUACAUAGUUGCAUCUGGAAUUUUGAUAGGAAGGAAAUAUAUUUUUCCUAAUAGAUAGGAAAAGUGAUUUUUCAAUUUGUUAUGUCUUUAGUUUACUGUUUGCAUUUGCUAUUCUGAUAAUAAGACACAAACCAGGAAGUGCAGUGCCCUGCUGUGUGGGCAGUGGGGGAGUGUCUGGGUGGGCGUGACCGUGUAGAGUCCACUCUUCUGUUCCCGACACACACCUGUUAAUCACGCACAAGGCCCCUGCUCUCUGACCCUUGUGGCCACCCGUGCUGCACGCUGGCUGCCAUCCUCCUAUCACUGGGAGCCUGGCUCCCCGGGAAGCAGUGGCACUGAAUUUGGCAAAAUGGUUGCUCCAAACCCAAAGUUCUCUUGUUGGGCUUUUGUGCUUUCCAAAGAGAAGACCAUUGGUGCAUUAUGGGACAGCUUUAUCUUUUCUUGCUUUUCCCAGUGAAAAUUCAAUUAAAUAAAAAAUGACUGUGUAAAAUAAAGGAGUUAUGUGAAAUAAUCUGAGGUGUGGAAAUUGGAAAAAGAAAUAGGAUUUUAGGACACUGAGAAAAAUAUUGAGCUAAUAAUCUGAACCAAGAAUAUAUACUUGAAAAUAAUGAACAGUUAGAGAUACACAAAAGUAUGUACUUCCUUAGAAGUAGCGAACGAAGGACAGAACCACAGUAGCCGAAUGUGGGAAAAGACAGAGUGUAAGGAAGCAGCUGGUAAUACAUGGAAAUAAAAGACAUCAGACUGUAAAUGGUGACAGCUGAAGUGUGCUGACUUUGCUCAGGUACUUAACUGCCUUCUGUCCCGAUAUCGGACGAGAAAAGCGAAACAGGGGCAUUGUCUCUGCUUUAGUGGGGGACACAGGGGCACCGAGGGGCUGAGUUGGGGGUUUGGGCGCCCAGUCAGCAGAUCAGGCAGGCCUGAGGGAGCCGAGUCUGAGCUCUGAAAGCAGACUAGGGGCCAUGCGUGCUUUUGUCUCAGCAGUUAUUCCAGAUCUUCAGCCUGUCAAGGGGAGGCUAUUACUUUAACUGGGUAUCUUAGAAAGGGAAACUUUGAAUAAGGUAGAGCAGUUUAGAAGGAGAGCAGAAAGGUAUAUCAAUAUAUUCAGUUUCAGUGAAGACUAAAUAAUGGGUAGAUGAUAUUCAUGGAAACUGUAAACCUCUGAUUCCUUGUUCCAGCCAACAAUCUAAACCAGCAGUCUGGAUCUACUGAUUGUGUCAUUUCCCAUCACCAGGGCAGUGUACCACACACCUGCAACUGUAAGGAGAACAGGUUUACUUUGGCUCAUGGUUUCAGAGGGUUCAGUUCACAGUCAUCUGGCUCCAAGGCUGAAGUGGCAUGGUGGAAGGGUCUGGCUAAGGGACAGCUGCUCAACCCAUGGUGGCCUAGAAGCAGCGAGAAUAGGGAGGGGUUGGGAACAAGAAGUCACCAAUGACCACCUCCAACCAGACCCCACCUCCUGCAGCUCUGAAUUUGCUCAUGAAUUAAUCCAGUGAUGAGUACAGUCCCCCCAUGAUCCAAUCACCUUCUAGAAGGCCCACCCGUGAACACGGGAGAUUCUGGGGAGACAUUAUAUCUAAACCUGAUUUACAGAGGGUUAGCCUUGAACUAAUCAGAGAUUUUUAAAAGCCCUUUUCUAAUAAUGGGACUAUAAUUACUUGUGAUUGUUCUAUGUAUUUCAUGCUUUGGUGGUUCAAUUUGGCUGUACAUAUAUUAAAUUUGGUUAUAGAAAACUUAAAGCUGUCAUUUGUUGAAUAUUUACUAUGUGGCCACUAAGUACUUUUUAAUUCUUCUUACUUCAUGAGAUUGAUUUUUUAAUUGACAUGAUAAACUCAUCAUAGUAGUUCUCAUAAUAAACUAAGACAUAGAAACUGGGGCUCAGAGUAGCUACCUAUGUGCCCAGCUACGCAGCUGAUUAAUGCUGAGUUGGGAUCUGCAUACAGGCCCAUGAAGACCUCUUGACCACCCUCUUUCCUAUUUUUAUUUAUUGAUUUCACAACAGAAUGUUAUCAAAAGGGUCUCCACAUCAGACUAUUCCUAAAAUGGUAUGUGCAGUGCAUCCCAAAAGAGUUGAUUUUGGCCAUUGCUAUUUUUUGUUCAUUCUGUAAGACAAGAAACUCUCCACAUCGCCUUUUUUUUCUUUUCGGUACCUAGAAUCGAACUCAGGGCCUCUCGCUCGCCAGGCAGGUGCCGUGCCGCUGAGCCACAUCCUGGCCUGACACUGCCAUUUGGAUUGGUGUAUUAUUUUGAAUUCCAUCCUCACCCUCUGCCAGGCACACACAGAGUCUAAAACAAUUACCAAAAACUAGUUAGUUCUCCACUUACAGAAUCAUUUCAUUUCUUUUCUUUGGGAAAGCAAUGUGAUUUUUGAUUCCUUUCUUCAUACCGUGGAAAAAUUCUUUUUCCUACUGAAGAGAAAUGAAAAUCUCUUAUGAUACGAGGCCUAUGUAGAAGGUACUUGGUUCAUAGAAGGCUAUAUUCUCUUGUUCAUUUUAGCCACACCUUAAAUUGCUUUUGCUCCCUCCUGGCUUGGAUAAAGUAAGUUGUGUAUACAUUGAAUUCUCACCUUGGUCCAAAGUAAAAUAAAUGGCAUCUUCCAGCAUCCGUAAGUGUCUGAAAUGUGUCUGUUUACAUAAGUUUAUCCAGAGGAG